rnacentral:lncRNA from 1 species
UUACUCAAGGGUUAAUGAUUUUUGUUUUAAAAUUUGGUUUUUAGAAGUUACUUCAAAACAUGAGUACUCUUCAAUUGUACAAGAACAAUCCGUCCAAAUUCAGACUCCUAAAUUAGGUGACGAAUCUAAGGAAGACUCUGCUUCUGAGGAUGACACAAAACAAGGACGAGGGGUGUCAGACACACAGAAAAAAAGGACACCGUCUGACUACAGGAAACAUCUCUUUUCUGAGAAGGAGCACGAUUCAAGUUCUAGUACCAGUGAACUCCCCUGGACCAGUAACCAGAAAAGGAAAUCCUUAAAAUCAUACUCCAGCAGAAGAAAGAUGAGAGAGAGAAGCAAGAUGAAAAUUUUGCCACUUUUCCCUCACAGUAGUGGCAGUGAACAUGAGGAAGGUCAAGCUAAACUUCUAACACCAGUAUGGAAAGACAGCUCCAGACAAAACAGUGCCACACCUUCAGAAAUGUCUGGAAGAAAACUCCAGGGUAGUUCUGCCUUUUUAAGUCUUGAAGAUUCUGUGCAGAAAACUGAACUUCCAAGUCCCCACCCACCGAGUGAUCUAUCUGCCUUGGAGUACUCAGAAGUUGAAGAAAACAUGUCUCAGAUUAUAAACCAAGAGUCAUUAAUGGAAAAUACAGGAUUCAAACAUAAGCUGGCAAACUUGGAAGACAAAGACUCUCCAGAAGGGAGUUUUGCUAAACCCAAGCAAUCAAGACUGGAAGAUGGCGAUGUUCCAGGAGCCGGCGGCUUGGCAGACACUGUGCCAGAGAACUUGGAUGGUUCUGCCAUUAUCACAGUGUUGGAAAACUUCACUGGAGACCUGAAAAGAAGAUAUGAGCUUGAGUACAGAAAGAGUCCAGUUUAUUCAACAAGGGCAAAGAAAGCACCAGAUUGCCUACGAAAACUUUUAAACCAGAUACACACGCACAGGUAAUUAUUGAAUUUCAAAACAAAUUCAUGGAAGUAUGAUCACUCACAGCU